GAUGAAGAACGCAGCGAAAUGCGAUAAGUAAUGUGAAUUGCAGAAUUCAGUGAAUCAUCGAAUCUUUGAACGCACAUUGCGCCCCUUGGUAUUCCGAGGGGCAUGCCUGUUCGAGCGUCAUUAUAACCCCUCAAGCUCAGCUUGGUGUUGGGGCCUGCUGCACUGGCAGCCCUUAAAAUCAGUGGCGGCGCCAUCUGGCUCUAAGCGUAGUAAUUCUUCUCGCUAUGGAGUCCUGGUGGAUGCUUGCCAUCAACCUCCAAUUUUUCUAUGGUUGACCUCGGAUCAGGUAGGGAUACCCGCUGAACUUAAGCAUAUCAAUAAGCGGAGGA
rnacentral:misc_RNA from 1 species